rnacentral:rRNA from 1 species
UACAGAGGUCCCAAGCGUUUGUUCGGAUUCACUGGGCGUAAAGGGUGCGUAGGCGGGUAGGUAAGUCAGUGGUGAAAUCUUCGAGCUUAACUCGGAAACUGCCUUUGAUACUAUCUAUCUUGAAUAUUGUGGAGGUAAGCGGAAUAUGUCAUGUAGCGGUGAAAUGCUUAGAUAUGACAUAGAACACCUAUUGCGAAGGCAGCUUACUACGCAUAUAUUGACGCUGAGGCACGAAAGCGUGGGGAUCAAACAGG